UCUCCGUAGGUGAACCUGCGGAGGGAUCAUUCCAGAGUUCAUGCCCUACCGGGUAGAUCACCCACCCUAUCUUAGUAUUACUUUGUUGCCUUUGUGUGCCUGUAGGCUCCGGCACGACUACCGGUCUCUGAUCUGUAGCGCUCGCAAGUAUACCCAAAACCCUGAAUAUUAACACCUUCUGAGUACUGAUUAAUUGUCAAAACUUUCAACGACGAACCUCUUGGUUCUGGAAUCCAUGAAGAAGGACGCAAAUCAGUAGAGCCCACGUCUGAACUCCAC
rnacentral:misc_RNA from 1 species